rnacentral:rRNA from 1 species
AACGAACGCUGGCGGCAUGCCUAACACAUGCAAGUCGAACGAGACCUUCGGGUCUACUGGCGCACGCGUGCGUAACGCGUGGGAACCUGCCCUUAGGUUCGGAAUAACUCCCCGAAAGGGGUGCUAAUACCGGAUAAUGUCUUCGGACCAAAGAUUUAUCGCCUUUGGAUGGGCUCGCGUUGGAUUAGCUAGUUGGUAGGGUAAAAGCCUACCAAGGCGAGGAUCCAUAGCUGGUCUGAGAGGAUGAUCAGCCACACUGGGACUGAGACACGGCCCAGACUCCUACGGGAAGGAGCAGUGGGGAAUAUUGGACAGUGGGCGAAAGCCUGAACCAGCAAUGACGGGUGAGUGAUGAAGGCCUUAGGGUUGUAAAGUUCUUUUACACGGGAUGAUAAUGACAGUACCGGGAGAAUAAGCUCCGGCUAACUCCGUG